rnacentral:rRNA from 1 species
AUUGAACGCUGGCGGCAGGCUUAACACAUGCAAGUCGAGCGGAGAUGAGGUGCUCGCACCUUAUCUUAGCGGCGGACGGGUGAGUAAUGCUUAGGAAUCUGCCUAUUAGUGGGGGACAACAUUCCGAAAGGAAUGCUAAUACCGCAUACGCCCUACGGGGGAAAGCAGGGGAUCUUCGGACCUUGCGCUAAUAGAUGAGCCUAAGUCGGAUUAGCUAGUUGGUGGGGUAAAGGCCUACCGAGGCGACGAUCUGUAGCGGGUCUGAGAGGAUGAUCCGCCACACUGGGACUGAGACACGGCCCAGACUCCUACGGGAGGCAGCAGUGGGGAAUAUUGGACAAUGGGCGGAAGCCUGAUCCAGCCAUGCCGCGUGUGUGAAGAAGGCCUUUUGGUUGUAAAGCACUUUAAGCGAGGAGGAGGCUACCUGGAUUAAUACUCUAGGAUAGUGGACGUUACUCGCAGAAUAAGCACCGGCUAACUCUGUGCCAGCCGCCGCAGUAACAC